CAGCGCGACGCUACUCCGCAGUGGAUUGUGGGAAAUAGUGCUUCAGCGAGUGUACAUCGGUUGUACACUCGAAAUCAGAAUGAAUAGUGGGUAAAAAGAAGUGAACGAAUGUAGGGAAUGAAGUCGUUCACUCAGAAUUUGGACAGCACUACAAAAUGGCUGACACCCGAUAUAGUGCACUAUAUAGUGGAUAGGGAGCGGUUUCAGACACAGCAUAUAAGUCUGUACUAAAGUUUUGACCCCCUCAAUGAAAGUCUGUAUGGGACUCAUAGAUUUGAUCAUCUGUUUAAUAAAAAUAAUAAGUUUGAUCAGUUAGAAAAGAUAUAGCAACCCGAGGCAGACCAGUCUGAAGGUCUGACCCAAGUUUGGGGGUUGUAGCUUGAAAGCUGUAGGAGGAAGUACAUUAAAAAAAAAAAAAUAGUGUCAGAGGAAAAAGCAGCAGCUUAAAUAGCAGAUCAGUCAUUUGGCCAACUUAAUUACUGUAGCAUAUCACAUUAUCACAUUUUAGAUACUCUGGCUUAAGGCAAAAAUCAGACCUUCCUCCCAAGAUGACCAACCCACACUCUGAUUAGUCUAGGUAAGGUCAGAUUUUCUCAGUUGGUGAGGGGUGCAUGGGGAAAAAGCAAGCAAUAAUGCCUUAAUAAGCAUACUAAAUGUGCAGUUAUAAAUCUUGAAAAUGUGUAAAGAUUUAAGCUUUUCUCAAUCACUAUUUUGUAUCAGCAUAUAUGUUUUCCAGUUAUUAUGGGGGCAUAUUUUCACCAUAAAGUAUUAUGCGAUCUACUGAGAAUUCUACAUUUCUGGUUUUUUUUUUUCUUUCUUUUUCUUUUUUCUGUGCCACAGAAUAAAACUCACAAUUAGGUAACUGAAGUGAAAAUUUAAGGAAUUAAUGUGUAGUUUUGAUGAGCUAAAGGGCACAUGCAGCACAGCCCCUCAGGCCCAUCUUAAUAUGUGCUCCAUAUGUUCUUCAAUAAUUACAGUAAAAACCCUUUCCUGCUAUAGCUGUGAAUAAUGCCUGUAAACAUAAGUGACUGACUAAAUUAAAUGUCAAAGAUGACAACAUCCUAGACUAGAGAGUCAUUACAAUCGACACAAUGUUAUAGAAUAACUAGUAACUUUUUUUAUUGAUUCUAUGUUAUAUAAUGUGAGGUUUUACCUCAUUACUCUCCUGCUUGUCCCAUCUGUGUUUAGGGGCAAGAUUAUGAUCUGUAGUGGGUUUUGGAGACAGGAACCAAUCAGAUAGCAGUCUUCUCAGUGUAUGAACCAAUCAAAAGUAGGUGAGUCAUAAUCUGGUGUUGAAGAGUCAGAUUUUGUACAAGCAUUUGUUGUCCUGCAGAGACCUGCAGUGUACUUGGACGUGACUGACUUCAUGGGGGCAACUUUCAGCCGUUCUAAACUUUAAAUCUUACUGUGUUUCACAAAAUGUGCAGAAGUACUGGUUGAUUUCAGGAACAAUGGCAGUCUGGCCUCUUUAUCUGUCUUUCUGUCUUCUCUGCUCUGGAUGCUUCAGAGGCAACACCUCUUCAAGGCACAUGCAAUGAUUGUUUUACUAGACAAGACCCUUAUUCCUCGGCUGGGACCUUCAGCUCGUUGGCUACCAUUAAAGUCCACUAUGGAGAAAAAUCCUGGAAUGUUUUCCUCAAAAACCUCAAUUUCUUUUUGACUGAAAAAAGAAAGACAAGGACGUCUUGGGUGACAUGGGGGUGAGUAAAUUAUCAGGAAAUUUUCCUUCUGGAAGUGAACUAAUUUUUAAUUUAAAUAUUUAAUUUUUUUAAAUAUAUUUGUUUAGCAUGUUUGUCAAUGGCCAUGUUUUUUUCUUUUUUAUAUUGUACUUGUUUUUGAGUUUCGUCUUAGCAUUUAAUAAAGAUUUUGUUUUUACAUUUAAUGAGGAUACAGCUGAUACAUUUGUCAUGUUAGUUCUAUUGGCAGUUUCUAUAGAUAAACACAGAAAUGUUUUAGAUACAUAAACAUUAAUGCUGACAAGAAAUCUACCAAAUUUUGUGACUGCUUAAUGCAAAAGAAGAUAUUUUGAAGAAAGAAUUCAUGCAACUGUCGUUAUUUUAAGAAAGUAGAUCAUGAAUAAGAGACAAUUUCUCAACAUUAAUCACACAUUAACUCCCAAUUAUAAGAAGGUUUCUCAAGAACAUACUCUGUCAUAAUUCUGAAAGAGUUGUCAGUGUCAAAUAAUCACUUUUUUUAUUACUUUUUUUUUUUUUUUAAGUUUUUUUCCACUUAACAAAAAGGUGUACUGUAUGAACCCAAUAAUUGCUUAACAUUAUUGCAUUACAGCAGAUUUCUAGUUCUCAGCAUGCAUUGCUUCUGAUUCUGUAAAGAGAGUAAAUGUUGAAAUGUUUUUGCUCAAGAUUAAUGUAAGGGGAGAUAUGUUAGUGUUUUUUAUGUCAGUGUAAUAAUGUUGUAAAUAAUACUAAUUUCUUACACAGACUGAUCAUUUCACCUCUAUAUAAUGUCAGGAGCCAAGGGGAUUCAUUUUGUGAUUUUGUAUUUAUUUUUGUCUUUCUCUCAAAGUAGUACCACCUGCUUUUUAUGACGCUGCCCUGACUAAGAUCUAUCUUGAUGUGGAUAUAAAUUGUAAUAAAAGAAACAACUGGGAAUAUGUUUUUUAUCACUAUAUAGAAAGCAGAAAACACAGGAAAAUUAGGAUUCAUGGCUGAAUAUAACAUGUUUCAUGAGAGCAUGUGCAGCUCCAUUCCUCUAUUUUUGUGUCUCUGUACUUGAAAGUCAGGAAACGAUGAAGCACAAAACCCAAGAUUGACCAGAACAUAAUGAAUUUCCUGAAGCUCUCUUUAUGCUUUAUGCUUUAUGCUCUCAAUGAGCAUGAUCUCCUUAGACUUUUGUUUUGAUGACUGUUUGUGUCCACGUUUACAGUUCAACAGAUUUUCAGGACAAUAACUGAAUGCUAUUUGAUUUAUUGAGAAAUAAUUUACAGAAAGAAAGAUGUUGAACACUAAGGCAACAUGCCACAAAGCAAAACUGCAAGUGAACUUAUUAUCAGUGAAUUCAAUGCAUUUGCACUGUAUUAAACAUGUUUUAAGCAUUCCAUUUCUGAUUUAACAGUUUGGAUCAGCAAUGGCACAAACAAAUGAU